GAGUGCCUGAAGCGGCGUCACACAACGGCUGGAGAAUGGUGACGAGAGGGCGUGGACGUCUUACUCCGUUCCUCGAAAGAGCUCCUCAGACUCGCGGCCGGAAGUGUGGAGCCUUGGCGCUUUCACGAGUGCUGUUGUCAGGAAAUGAAUGACUGAGAAUUGGGGCCUUUCGAGCCACAUGGAGCCGACGAACGACUGCGUGCUUCUCCCCGCAGAGUGCCCCCGUCAGAGGCAGUCCCCCUCUGUGGAAAGCCCUCUCCGAGGAACCUUCUCGACCUUUCCUCGGUCAGAUCACUUGUACCCUGCUCCCAAGAUGGCGCCACAGGACAGAGAAAUUGGGGGAAUCUAGCAACUCCCCCCAAACACGUGCAGACAGAGCUUGCUGUGCCCAUGUGGCUUCUAGAGAUGCUCUGAACCCCACUUCCGGCCACACCCGCCGCCCUUGAACCUGUAGGAAUUCUGGAGCAGCACCCCUGCCCUUGCGGCCACUGCGGAUGGAACUGUGUGGUUCCCUGGGGUGCUUUGCAAGUUUGACCCCAAUGCUUAGUGAACCCGUCAAAUUCCCGAUGUCACCGAGCCACACUGUGUUCUCUGGGGCUAGUUCAUCCAGCUGUUCGUGGAGCACGCGUGCCCGGGAAGUAAUUGGUGUCACUGUGUCCCGUGGCUACUAAGUCUUGGGUCCCAGGGAGAUAGAGGAGAGAUUGAGACGGCGGAAAGAUCAUUGUAGAUUAACUGCCUCCUCCCGGAGACAAAGUCUUGGAAAAGGAAGGACAGCACCGCAUGGAAGCAAGGAUUCCUCGUGUGUCUGCAAGUUACAUGAGCCAACCCGGAAAAAAGUCUCCGGACUCCUCAGCAGAGACCACGUCCCCACUGGCAAGGCGCGGGGACUCCACAGUGAUCCAUGAGGGGAGGAGGUGGCCAUCCCUGCCUAGGGUGGCCCUCUUGUCGGCCAAGUGGAACUCACUGAUGAGCUCCUCAUGCUCAUUGGAGAUGCGCUGGACAACUGACUGCAGCUUGAGCUUGACCACGAGCAGGCUUUGGUUCUGGAGGAAGAAAUGGAGAUAUCACCGCGAGCCAGGAGUCUGCACAGCCCUGCCCGUGUCCAGGAAAGAAAGCUCUUGCCACAUCCCCCAACCAAAAAUGGCCUCCUGCUUGGGCAAGGGACUCCCACUGUGCUCCCCUCUGGGUUUUGGAGCAGAACUUGCAACAUGAGUAUCCCAGGAACGACAUCAUUUGGGCUUGUGGGGGGUGGCAGCUCUGGGACAAUCCUGAACUCAGAGCUGGGAAAACCUAGGUUCAGGCCCCAGCACUUCCUCCUACAUGGAUGGAUUCUCUACCUCCAGGCUUUGGUCUUCUUAUCUGUAAAAUGGGCUUAUAAUCAUUAGGUGUCUCACACACGUUUUUCCUUUUGGAGAAUUCUCGUGAGAUGAUAAGUAAGGAUGAAGCUGUGCUGGUAAAGGACUGUGCUGUGAGCAGUAAACAGGACUGGUCUUACUGCUGGCGGAAGACAGGGUCCCUGAUGUUGACCACGGAGAAGCCACUCAACUCUCUGGGCCACGGUUUUUCAGUCAUAAAAUGAAUGUCAGACUUUGGAAUAUUCUAGAUCCCUUCCAGUUCGAAAGUUCCCUCCUCAGCUAUACUGGGGGUAAUGGUGGUUCUUAAAAUUGGCUAAAUCAUCAGAAUCUCCUGAGGAGUUUCUAAAGUUUAGAUUUCUGGGGUCCCACCGCAGACCCACUAGAUCAGAAUCUCCAGAGGACAGUCUGGGUGUCUGUCUUUAAAAGCUCUGCACAAAAUGUGCACGUAGUUAAUAUUGCUGUGCUGUGCACUGAAAAAUGGUUAAGAUGGUAUAGCGUACGUUACAAGUUUUUUACCAUAUAAAAAACAGCUCUGCAGGUGAGUUCUGAGGAUUUUCCAAGUGGGGACACUACCUGCCUCUGAGUUUUGACAGGAGCCCUCAAGGUUUGAGCACCGUCCUGGCCUCGUCCCAGGGCCCCGAGUGUGAGUCCAUGUGGCACUGCCCAGGGAGCCACCAUCCUACCUGGACAUUGAUCUCGUUGUGCUGCUCGGUGAUCUCCACCACCUCCUGCUCCAGCAGCUCGCGGGAGCGCUCACUGCCCUCUAGGGCCGAGCGCACCUCCUCCAGUUCUGUUUGCAGCAGGCUCAGGCGCCACUCCUACAGGUCGUCCUGCUCCCGCAGCUCCUCAUGCUGCCAGGCAUCCUCGUCCAUCUGGACCUGCAGGUCCUGGGGGGCAAAGGGAUCCAGCUUGAGCCCGUCUCCUGGGCCCUGGCAUGGCCUGGGACUGGCCAGGCUUGAGAGUGCUGUGACCUUCAUAAACCAGGCACAGCAGGGAGCUGGGUGGGAGUGGGGAGGUCGAGGCCACAGAGGAAGAGAGCGAGGUAUAGACUGCCCUUGGAGAGUUCACAGUCUGUUGAGGCCUAGCUGGGCCACAUCCCAUGUGUCCACAGUGGGCGGUCAGCAUGAAGUCAAGGCUUUCCUGAUAACGGAGCACCUGGUGUUUCCAGCAGGGCCUUCUCAAGGAGGCCUUCCUCAGUGAUCUUUGACAGUUACAGGCCUGCCAGCUAAUCCCCACCUCUCUUCUCCUGUCUUGUUAUUUCUCCAUAGCAUUUAUCACCAUUUUUAAUACUACAGUUUUAUUUAUUUGUUGCUUAUUGUCUGUCUGCAGGGAUUUUUGUUGGUUUUGUCCAUUCUCGUACCACUAGCUCCUAAUACAGUGACUGGACAGGGCAGGUCUCCAGUAAACAAGUGUUGAAUGCAUGGAUCCAACUACGUGUGCUUCAAAGACCGCCCGAUGGCAGAAACGAAGAAAGGGGGACUUCAACUCUAUUCAUGUGUAUUUCUUAAGCCUUUUUGGUGUCUUCACAAGUUCGCUGUUCUUGGCGUGGUCCAGCUGGAUUUCCAUCUCAUUCAGGUCCGUUUCCAUCUUCUUCUUCAGCCAAAGUGCCUCUGCCCAGCCUUUGGCCUCCGCCUCCAGGCUGGCCUGCAAGGACUCAAUUGCCUACCCAUGGUUCUUCCUGCAAGUCCAGGCACAGAAGUCCUUGGCAUACUGGGCCCGCUGUUCAGCCUGUGCUAAACCUCCCUAGAUAAGCGAACUCUCAGCAUCAGCGUGGGUAUGGCCACCAUGUUGUGAAAUUAAAUUGUAUUUCCCCUUAAAGCAUUUAAGUCGGGGAGCAUCAUGCUUUGGGAAAAGGAAUAGAAGGUCACUGUUUACCACAUGUCUCAAUUCAAUUAACGUGCAAAACAGCCCUGCAAGGAGGCUGAGGCUCCAAGAUGACGAAAAAUGUGCUAAAGGUCACCCGUUUAGCCCACAAUGGAGUCAGGAUUCAAACCUAGAUGCUAAGCUCCCUAUUUUUUUUUCAUUACAAAAUGUGAGCUUUGGCUAUACAAGUCAGGUUUCUAUCUCUCUUCAAAAGAACAGUAAUGGAUUGUAUUUAAUAGACAUUCAAUUAUAUUGUAAUCAACGUAAUAAACAUUUCCAUA